UUUUGGGAAAAGUGAUCCCAUUCCCAAAUUGAAGUUACUUCGGUGGAACAGUUAAAAAUACAAUGAGUCGUCAUUCGGCUCUACAACUAUGACAGUGGACCGUUAAUGUAGUUUUAUCGCGGUCCACUGUCUCCAGGAUUUUAUUGGCUGGUAAAGAAUUCCUCAUGGCUUCGGAUGUGUUUCCGCAACUGACAAGUGAGUACGGAUUGGUUUUAUUUAUUUUUAAUGAUUUAUUAUUAAUUAAUAUUCAUUUAAUUUAAUACAUUUUGGUUCGCGUGUCUACAUUUUUCGAUUUAGGCUGUUGUGCCGCAUGCGAGAUCUCUAGUUAUUUUGUCGGCGGUGGCAGAAAACCUCGUGUUUUUUUAAAAAAAAUUGUCAUGUUUUUAAUAUUUUAUCAUUUUAUUUGUGAUAUUUUGUGUUACUGAAAACCACGAGUUAGAACAACAAUUUUUUUCCUCUUAAAAUACAUAAAUCGACUUGUUCAAAAUAAUAUCGUUCAACGUAAUUCGCCCUCAAAAACAUUUAAUUUCUUAUCGCCAUUUGAAAAUCCUUUAUAAUAUACCUAGGCGCUGUGGGUAUUACUUUUUCCAAAAAAUAUUUCAUUCACUACUGUAUCGGACAUCAGUGUUAAUUUAGCUAGGUGACUCGGAGGUUUUAACUCUAUGAAAUUAAUAGUACUAAAGUUAUUUGCCCAAAUGAUCACUACAGAUUUUCAAAAAAAUAUCCAAAAUUAAUUUGUUUUAUUUAUCAACCAAGUAAAUCCCACAGUAAAAAUUUAGAAGUUUUGUUCUGUGUAUUAAAAUAAUUGUAAUAAAUUCGUAAUAAAUAUCUGUGUGCUGAACUGAUGAUGUAAGAAUCCUGAUUAAUUGGAAAAUACCAAUGGUGUUAAUAUUAAAUAUGAAUGGUGUAAAUGUUAGGUAUAUUAUUAUGUUUAAUAUGUUUAGGUAUUAUUUUAUUGAAAACUAAUGAGCCCUAUACAGAGUUCAUUUUUAAAUGCGAAAAAAAUUGUGAACGUUUAACAACAUUCGAGAAUCCCCCCUUUUUCCCCCAAUGUCAAUUGUCAUUCGGUUUACUGAAAUUGAAAUUUAAAAAAAAAUAUUGAUACCGCUAAGUAAUAUUAAGUGUCAAAUUUUUAAAAUUUAUUUUUUAUUAGAUUUACAAAAAAAAAAAAAACUGGCCCCCAUUCUAACUAUUUGAGGUCGGCCACCCAUGUUUUAAGCUUUUACUUGACCCACUUUGCAUACACUGGUUGUCCCCGUAUUCAACCACUUCUUUUUCAGUCUUCCUUUCCAUCCUUUUCCCCUUUGUUUUCAUAACAAUUUUUAUGGUUGUGGUCUAAUAUGUCGCUCAUGGUAUAGUUAUUAAAAUGUAGAUUGAAGGUCUUUAAAGAUAUUCUUCAAAUAUUAUGUCUUUUUGAAAGCAUAGAAUAGAAUUCUUUAAGCUUCCAGUAAGUAGAUGACAAGUAUUAUUUAUUUGAAUACCAACAUUUUAGUUAGUUGCCAUAAAAUUUAAAUUUGUUGUAUUUGCCAGAAUGAUGGGAUGUAUGAAAUUUUGUUGAUGGUUAACUAGUAUAAAAAUCAUGGUCAUUUAAAUAGAUUUAGGGUCCUUUAUUUGUUAAUGGAUAGUUAAACUGGUUUCAACAAAGUUGCUCUAUCUGUCUUCAUUCCAUGCUCUAUUGCUCGUUCAUAAUAAAAUAUUGUCUUUCUAUUAUACCAUCGUCCUCACAACAAAGUCCAAAAACUUACAUUUUCUGUGUUAUAUUACCAUAAUUUCUUACUAGAUGAUAAUUAUUCUUACUGUCACCUUUGUGAGAUAUUCCUGACGUUGGUAUUUUAUUUUACCCUGUUGAUUUGAAUUAUUGCACCUAUUCUUCCACUCUUUUAUUAUUAUUAUUAAAUUUGUCCUGAAUAAAUUAUACUAAUUGUUGAUUUGUUUUUGAUUGGUUAACGUUUUGGCUUUUGUGGUUGGUAUUUCAUGAACCCAAAACCAUGUCAUUUCCAUAAUAGGCGUACAUAUUAGGCAUGUUAUUGCAACCAUAUUCUUACUGCUUAGUUCUCUUUCUCCUCGUGACGUACCCAAAUCAAUUUCAUUCUAUUUUUCUAAUUUUUUCCUACUACUGGAAGCCAUGACUAAAUUACCUCUUCUGUACUCAUCUUUUAAACCAAUUUUCUAUUGUCACUCCACUCAUCAACCUAAGUAUUUCAUCACAGCUACACUCGUUCUCUGUUCUAUUUUUCUGUCUUCUGCUCAAUAAUAGUUUCAUUGACCUUUUGCAGAACUUUUAAAAAAAAAUUGAUAACAUGAGCAUAAUAAAUAAGAAUAACAUUUAGAUUUUAACUCAUUUUUUUUUGGUGAUUUUUGUUUCAGCUCAAGGAAGAAUACAGGAACAAAAUAUCUGACCCCCUUAUUUAGAGAAAAUUGAUCUUGAGUUUUAUACACGUCAACUAAGAUCCUUAAUUAUUGCAGUCUGAUCGUCUACAUAAUCACCUACUUUAAAAUAUAAACUUUCUAGUAAUAAUUCUUCUUACUAUUAACCUAUACAAAUAUAUUAUUAAUUUGGAUGCCUAGUUUUAAUUUAUAAACAAAAUCUAUAUAUUUAUUUUGUGCGAUUCUGUUGAAGAAGGGACUUCUUCACCAGCAUUGCACAAAGAAAAAGCACCACAAAAAAACUUGGCACCCAGAUUAAUAAUUCAUUUGUUUAGUAAUAUAAAGAAGAAACUUUGUUUGAAAGUUUUUCAUUUUUAUGUUGGUGAUUACGUUGGCUUUGAGACUGUAGUUUACUGGUAAAUUACUCAAGUGCCAAUAAUCCAAACACGAUAUCUAGUAUUACAGAAAAUAAUGGGCUCAUUUAGGUUGUUAAAUUUGCAGAGUAUGUAUUUUAAUGUCUUUAAUUAUACAAAGUAUUCAUUAUCUUAAUCAAAUAAUAUUAAAUGGAUUUAGGUGUACUAAGGAACAACAACCUAUUGCAGGUAAAGCGAACAAGAUAAGAUCAUGCUUUGAAAUUCACUUCUCAAACAAUUAUAUAAGGUGUUUACCUUUGGUAUUUAAUAUUAGAGUUUAUGAACUAUAAUUUUGAAUACUCGCUAAGCAAUAAGUACAUCAGUUAAACCCAAAUAACUGUACCAAUGGCUAUUGGUAUGUUAUGCUGAUCAAAAAGAAAAAACUACUAUGAAAGGCGACUGGAGAUAUACAUAUUGGAAAAGAAAGUUAUAAGUUUAUAUUAAAAGAGUACCAAGACAUUAAAAUAAAACCAUAGAUUUAUAGUAUUUUUUUAUAUUCUUUAUACCAUACUGUGAAUUUCCAUAGUUUUGCUCUCAUUAGUAUUGUUUUGUGAGCUGUUGAAAAU